GACUUUAAGGCCUUGUAUGGGCGUUAUACUGUAAAUUUAAUGUAGCUUGAUAUUGUAGUUA
rnacentral:tRNA from 1 species